rnacentral:rRNA from 1 species
UACGUAGGGUGCAAGCGUUGUCCGGAAUUAUUGGGCGUAAAGAGCGUGUAGGCGGCCGCGUAUGUCCCAUGUGAAAGCCCUCGGCUCAACCGGGGAACUGCAUGGGAAACGGCGUGGCUUGAGUCCGGGAGAGGAGAGCGGAAUUCCCAGUGUAGCGGUGAAAUGCGUAGAUAUUGGGAGGAACACCGGUGGCGAAGGCGGCUCUCUGGACCGGUACUGACGCUGAGACGCGAAAGCCAGGGGAGCAAACGGG